CCCCAGUCACUUCUCUGUCUGCUUUUGUCUGAAGCCACCAACACCACCACCCCAACCCACAGGCUCCUCCUGCUGCUCCCCUCCAAGAUCCCUGAGGACUGAUGCCCAGAGGCAGGAACAGAUGUAGGAAUUCCAGGAUGCAUUAUGCCUCAGGAGGCUGAGGCAGGAGAAUCACUUGAACUCAGGAGGCGGAGGUUGUAGUGAGCCGAGAUUGCAUCACUGCACUCCAGCCUGGGCCACAGAGUGAGACUGUCUCUCAAGAAAAUGAAAAAGAAAGAUAGAGAGAGAGAGAGAAAAAGAAAGAAAGAAAGAAAGAAAGAGAGAGAGAGAGAGAAAGAAAGAAAGAGAAAGAAAGAAGGAAAGAAAGAAAGGGAGAAAGCAUUGUGUGAAGAUGAGGGAAAGAAGAAAAGAAAGGAAAGAAAAGAAAGAGAAAGAAAGAAAGAAAAAGAGAAAGAAAAAAAGAAAAGAGAAAGAGACAAAAGAAAAGAAGAAAAGAAAGAAGAGAGCGAGAGGAAGGAAGGAAUUGUGUGGAGAUGAGUGAAAGCAGGCAGAAAGAUAGCGGUCAGCCUGUGGUCCCUCCUGGCUGCCCCCAUAGUGGGAAGAUGUCCAUGUCCUAAUCCCCAGAACUGUGACUAUGCUAUACUACAUGGCAAGGGAGGAUCAAGGGUGCAGAUUGAAUUAGAUUGCUAAUCAGCCUAACUUUUUUUUAUUGUUGAGAUAGGGUCUCAUUCUGUCAUCCAGGCUGAAGUGCAAUAGGGGGAUCAUAGCUCACUGCAGCCUUGAACUCCCAGGCUCAAGUGAUUCUCCCACCUCAGCCUUCCAAAUAACUGGGACCACAGGCAUGAGCCACCAUGCCCAGAGCAGUCUCUGUGGAAACUGCUGAGCCACAUGGUCAAGCACCACAGCCAGCCAAGACGCUGCAAACCAAGCUGGAGGUUUCGGGGGUUUCCAGUCUUUUUUUUUUUUUUUUUUAAGUAUCAAACACCAUAAAAUUCCCAUCACUGUUCUGGAGACACAGACGUAAAUGGAAAAUGGAUUCCUGUUCUGGGAGCACAGUCAUUUGAACGCCUGCCCAGAAGGGAGAGGGAAAGGUGACAUCUUUGCAUUCUGAAUGGGGACAAGUGGCCACUUUCCCUGCAGAGCCUGGGUAGGAGCCCCGCCCCACUCAGGGAGGUGAUGGAUGAGCUAAGACUGCAGGAAUCCUCUGUCUGCGGUUUGAGAAUGCCCCAUGCCCACAUUGGGGUCCAGCUUUCGUGGGGAAGCUGGAGAAGAUGGAAGAGAAAAGAGUGUUCUAUUGGGGUUGGGAGACAUGGCUGUAAUGUCAGAUGCUGCUGACUGUAGGCUGCCCACACACAACUGAGACUGGGAGCUGGCUCCAGAAAUUAAUCAGAUUCCAGCCAGAGCUCAAGACAGGCAAGAGGAUUGCUGGGGAGAAGGAAGGAGCAGAGCUGUGGGAAGACUAUGCUGACGAUGGCAGUGUCGGCCCAAUCAUCAGUGACACUUGCCAUCGGGUCCCUUCCUAGUGACACUGAAAUGGAAUGCACAGGAAGUCAGUGGGGGGCACUGGUCUCCCUCCAAGGUCACUUUUGUCACAGGUACCUGGGGGAAGACGUGAAUCCAGAAACGUACAGGCCGGGACCAGCCCCCAAAUAUCAAGGAUUAGGGAGGGACAUGUUGAAACUAGGGCUAUGGGCUGGACACAGUAGCUCACGCCUGUAAUUCCAGUACUUUGGGAGGUCUAGCUGGACAGAUCACCUGAGGUCAGGAGUGUGAGACCAGCCUGGCCAACAUAGAGAAACCCCGUCUCUACUAAAAAUACAAAAAUUAGCUGAACAGGGUGACGCACCUGUGUAGUCCCAGUUACUAGGGAGGCUCUGGGACAAGAAUCGCUUGAACCCAGGAGGUGGAGGCUGCAGUGAGCCAAGAUCAUGCCACUGCACUCCAGCCUGGGCAACAGAAUGAGACUGUCUCAAAAAAAAAAAAAAGGAAACUAGGGCUGGGGAAUAGGUCAGUCUUUCUCCCAGGAGGAGUGAGUGAGGCAGGAGGAGGUUGGGAAGGUUGGCCACUGUGUGAUUAUGUGAAUUGCAGCUACAGUUGUCCCGAUAAUAUCAGCUGAUGGGAGUCCAGGGACCCACAAGAGUUGUCUCUGAAGUCAUGGUGGCUAGGGUAGGGGGAAUCAGCUUGCUUGAUGGGUAGAUGACAAGCUGAUACUUGGCUUUAAGAGUAAAGUUCCUCGGCUGGGAGAAGUGGCUUACGCCUAUAAUCCCAGCACUUUGGGAGGCCGAGGUGGGUAGAUCACCUGAGGUCAGGAGUUCGAGACCAGCCUGACCAACAUGGUGAACCCUAUCUCUACUAAAAUAUAAAAAUUAGCCAGGCGUGGUGGCAGGCGCCUGUAAUCUCAGCUACUCAGGAGGCUGAGGCAGGAGAAUCACUUGAACCCAGGAGGUAGAGGUUGCAUUGAGCCAAGAUCAUGCCACUGUGCUCCAACCUGUACAAGACGGAGCAAAACUCCAUCUCAAAAAAAAAAAAAGCAAAAAAGGGUAAAGUCUCUCAAAGCCAGCGAGUUUGGUGUAGCAGUCAGAAAGUGUCAGGUUAUGCUGCAGUAACAAACAGUCCUAAAGGCUAUAUGGCUUACAACAGCAAAGGUGUAUUUCUUGCUCAUGCCGCUUGCCCAUUUCAAUGUCUGUGCUCUCAUCCAUGCCAUGUUCACUCUGGGACCUGGGCUGGCCAAACCACCCCCGUCUGGGACAUUGCCAGUCUCAUGGUGGUAGAGGGUGACAGAUGGCAAAACCACCAGCUGGCUCUUGAAGCUUCUUUCCAGAGACGAUGUGCGUCCCUUCCACCCAAAUUUUAUUGGCCAAAGCAAGUCACAAGGUCGCCCUGGAUAUAAAAUACUAUCAGAGAGAGGCACUGCCAGUCAGACAUCAAGCGUGAUAUCAGCGAGACAGGGAGGUAUGAUCUACCCAAGGGAGAGAAAGCAAAUAUUUUCAACAAUAACACAAUCUACCACAGCUGGGAUCCCAGCAGGGGUAUGGUUUAUGCAAAUCAAGAUCCCAUCAAGCAGGAUCAGACCCCUGGUGGGGCCUUGUGUGCCACACAAAGAGAUCUCGCCACUGCACUCCAGCCCAGGUGGGCGACAGAGUGAGACUGUGUCUCAAAAAAUAAAAAUAAAUAAAAUUUAAAAACCACCUAAAAAUUCCAAAGGAAAAUUUAGGAGACUAUAUGUAUAAUUUGGGAGCUGAGGAGACUAUUUUAAUCAAAACAAGAAAGCUGAAAGCUGUAAAAAUAAAAUUACACAUAUCCUACUACAUUAAAAAGUAACAUUUUGUGGGGGAAAGUUAUCAAAACAAUACAAAGUAGUGGCAGAAUUGUUUGCAAUCUGAAUGACAGACAAAGGGUUAAUAUAUGUAAUAUACAAACAGCAUUUACAAAUGUAUAUUUUAAAAACACACUGUUCAACCUGAUAUUCAUGGACAUUGUAUAUUAAAUGCCUCUUAAGAUACUUUCAGGAUCACAGUAUAAUUUUAUUGGGUUUUGGAGUCCUAUAGUAUGUUUAUGAUACUGGAAUCAUAGGCAAAAUGUUUUUCAAUAAAUUUUUUCAAACUUCUGUUUUCGGCCAAGCAUGGUGGCUCACGUCUGUAAUUCCAGCACUUUGGGAGGCCGAGAUGGGUGGAUCACUUGAAGUCAGGAGUUCAAGACCAGCCUGGUCAAUAUGGCGAAACCCCCGUCUCUACUAAAAAUACAAGAAUUAGCCAGAGUCUGGUGCAUCUGAAAGUUCUGUGAACACUAGCCUGCCACAUUCAGUGGAUCUGGAGGCAACUAUCGCCCUCCUAUAAAUACCAAGGGUGCCACUGGCCUGCUCCUUACACCAGACAGUAAACAGUCACCAAGAGCCUGAUUGAAGCUUUGGGACAAAACAAUGAAACCAAAAGAUGGAUUUGCUGAGUAGCGGAGACCGUAAACUGCUACUCUCAGUUUAUUUAUUUAUUUAUUUUUAAUUUUUUUUUUUUUUUGAGAUGGAGUCUCACUCUGC
rnacentral:lncRNA from 1 species